UUUUAUGUUUUGUUUUCAUUUUAGAAGGACAGCAAAUCAUCAAUUCUCUGGACGUGCAGCGUACGAUCAUCCAAAGUUCGAUGUCAUGCCACAGUUAGUCAGAAAGGAGACCAUUUCCGGGCAGGAGUUCAGCCACACUGUCAUCCAGCAGAUCCAAAACUUCCCAUCUACAAAGAAAUAGCAGCAAUGGUGAAGGAACGGAUCAGUAAUCAGCCAUAAUCCAGAGCCCUUGGUGUUGUGACUGAUGUCCUUACCAACUGUAUCCCAGAAGAACAGCGUUUCCUUGCUCCCAAGCAGAACCUCCUAAAGAGAACUGCCAACAAGUUCAGAUCAAUCAACACACCACAAGAACCCUCAGAUCUUGAUUUUGAGUUGGAUGUAGAUUUCCUGAAAUGUCAGGAUUUCUUAGUGGCAGAUCUAAGAGUUGGUGCCCAUAGACAUUUGGUAUUUGCCACCCAGUUCCAGAGGAACCUCUUGAAACAUGCGAAACGCUGGUUCAUGGAUG